UUGGAGGGCAAGUCUGGUGCCAGCAGCCGCGGUAAUUCCAGCUCCAAUAGCGUAUAUUAAAGUUGUUGCAGUUAAAAAGCUCGUAGUUGAAUUUCGGGAUCAGACUGUCGGUCGUGCCUCGGUACGCACUGGCAUUAUUGGUUCCUACCUUCUGAAGAACCGCGAUGUCAUUAAUUUGGUGUCGUGGGGAAUCAGGACUGUUACUUUGAAAAAAUUAGAGUGUUUAAAGCAGGCGCACGCUUGAAUACAUUAGCAUGGAAUAAUGAAAUAGGACGUUUGAUUCUAUUUUGUUGGUUUCUAGGAUCGACGUAAUGAUUAAUAGGGAUAGUUGGGGGCAUUAGUAUUCAAUUGUCAGAGGUGAAAUUCUUGGAUUUAUUGAAGACUAACUACUGCGAAAGCAUUUGCCAAGGAUGUUUUCAUUAAUCAAGAACGAAAGUUAGGGGAUCGAAGACGAUCAGAUACCGUCGUAGUCUUAACCAUAAACUAUGCCGACUAGGGAUCGGAUGAUGUUAAUUUUAUAAUGACUCAUUCGGCGCCUUACGGGAAAC
rnacentral:rRNA from 1 species